rnacentral:rRNA from 1 species
AUUGAGCGCUGGCGGCAGGCCUAACACAUGCAAGUCGAGCGGAUGAAGGGAGCUUGCUCCUGGAUUCAGCGGCGGACGGGUGAGUAAUGCCUAGGAAUCUGCCUGGUAGUGGGGGAUAACGUCCGGAAACGGGCGCUAAUACCGCAUACGUCCUGAGGGAGAAAGUGGGGGAUCCUCGGACCUCACGCUAUCAGAUGAGCCUAGGUCGGAUUAGCUAGUUGGUGGGGUAAAGGCCUACCAAGGCGACGAUCCGUAACUGGUCUGAGAGGAUGAUCAGUCACACUGGAACUGAGACACGGUCCAGACUCCUACGGGAGGCAGCAGUGGGGAAUAUUGGACAAUGGGCGAAAGCCUGAUCCAGCCAUGCCGCGUGUGUGAAGAAGGUCUUCGGAUUGUAAAGCACUUUAAGUUGGGAGGAAGGGCAGUAAGUUAAUACCUUGCUGUUUUGACGUUACCAACAGAAUAAGCACCGGCUAACUUCGUG